UCCAGUUGUGAAACAGUAGAUACAUUCACAUAUUCAUCAACAAGACCAUCAAAUGAAUUGUUGGAAAGAUCUAGUGUCUGUAAUGAUGGAAUUGAAAACAG